AGUUUGAUUAUGGCUCAGAUUGAACGCUGGCGGGAUGCUUUACACAUGCAAGUCGAACGGCAGCACGGACUUCGGUCUGGUGGCGAGUGGCGAACGGUGAGUAAUGUAUCGGAACGUGCCUAGUAGUGGGGAUAACUACGCGAAAGCGUAGCUAAUACCGCAUAAUAGCCCUUCGGGGGAAAGCGGGGGACCUUCGGGCCUCGCACUAUUAGGAGCGGCCGACGGAUUAGCUAGUUGGUGGGGUAACGGCCACCAAGGCGACGAUCCGUAGCUGGUUUGACAGGACGACCAGCCACACCGGGACCGGAGACACGCCCAGACUCCUACGGGGAGGCAGCAGUGGGGAAUUUGGACAAUGGGGAAACCCUGAUCCAGCCAUCCUCCAAGUGUGCGAUGAAGGCCUUCGCUGUAAAGCACUUUUGGCAGGAAAGAAACGGUACGUGGAUAAUACCCUCGCAAUCGACGGUACCUGCAGAAUAAGCACCGGCUAACUGUCGCCAGCAGCCACGCGGUAAUACGUAGGGGUGCAAGCGUUAAUCGGAAUUACCGUUGGGCGUAAGCGUGCGCAGGCGGUUCGGAAAGAAAGAUGAAAUCCCAGAGCUUAACUUUGGAACUGCAUUUUUAACUACUGAGCUAGGAGUGUGUCAGAGGGAGGUGAAUUCGCGUGUAGCAGUGAAAUGCGUAGAUAUGCGGAGGAACACCGAUGGCGAAGGCAGCCUCCCCGGGGAUAACACUGACGCUCAUGCACGAAAGCGUGGGGAGCAAACAGGAUUAGAUACUCCUGGUAGUCCACGCCCUAAACGAUGUCAACUAGCUGUUGGGGCCUUCGGGCCUGGUGGCGCAGCUGGUUUUGCUGACCGCCUGGGGAGUACGGUCGCAAGAUUAAAACUCAGCGACGGGGACCCGCACAAGCGGUGGAUGAUGAUUAAUUCGAUGCAACGCGAAAACCUACCUACCCUUGACAUGCCUGGAAUCCCGAAGAGAUUUGGGAGUGCUCGCAAGAGAACCGAACACAGGUGCUGCAUGGCUGUCGUCAGCUCGAAGUCGUGAGAUGUUGGGUUAAGUCCCGCAACGAGCGCAACCCUUGUCAUUAGUUGCUACUGAAAGGGCACCCCCACGAGACUGCCGGUGACAAACCGGAGGAAGGUGAUGACGUCAAGUCCUCAUGGCCCUUAUGGGUAGGGCUUCACACGUCAUACAAUGGUCGGGACAGAGGGUCGCCAACCCGCGAGGGGAGCCAAUCCCGUGAAACCCGAUCGUAGUCCGGAUCGCAGUCUGCACUGACUGCGUGAAGUCGGAAUCGCUAGUAAUCGCGGAUCAGCAUGUCGUGCAGAAUACGUUCCCGGGUCUUGUACACACCGCCCGUCACACCAUGGGAGUGGUUUUACCAGAAGUAGUUAGCCUAACCGUAAGGAGGGCGAUUACCAGCUUCGCAGGAUUCAUGACUGGGGUGCAGUCGUAAAUGUAUAA
rnacentral:rRNA from 1 species